CCGGGAGGCGCUUCCGCGGCGGCGCCUACACUCAAACUUUCCUGGCCAAACUUUGUGGCCGGGCGGGCCGGGGAGGGGCCCCGGGGCAGGGGACACCCCCGGCCCCAGCGGGAGGGUCCCCGCGGGACAGAUAUGCCUUUGCUUACAUUUCUUCACGGAAGUCCUUGAAGAAAUAGCUCUGGUGGGGUAAGCACAGAGGAGUUCUGACUUUCCAAAGCUGUGCUCAGAUGACUUCUGUCUGUCUCCUCUGGGCAUUUUGCUGCAGUCCUGUGUUCGUAGGUCUACCCCAGCAGACAGGUCUCAAGUCAUCUCGCACGCUGUUGAGACAGCACACAGGGAUCUCUUCCCCAACCAGCACAGCGCUCCCAGCUUCGGCAGGAAGCCGAAUAACGCCCACCAGCUGAAAUCAAGUGUUUCAGGGCAGAGGGCAGAGAACUGCGUGCUGCUCAGACUUCCAAGGGGGGUUAACUAGAAGAGUAUAAUUACCUGUCCAAAGCUUAGAUGUUCUUUGAGAAGUGCUCCAGGAUCUACAACAGCUGUAGGCAGCCAAGACCUGUGUGCAGGAGUGUUCCCUUGGAUUUUCAAUCCAGGUGCUAAACUGUCCUGCUCCUGCUUAGUUUGGGUUGUGUGAAUGCAUAUAACCUCACCGUGGUGCUAUAAAUUUUCUCUGGUUUAUCUCACUUAAGGGUUUCCCUAGUCACAGUUCAUUAUAGGAGCUAGCAGCUCAGAGAAAGCCUAGGGAGAAAAGAUUUUUCUGUUAAAACCAGCCAUGGAUCCACUUUAAAGUCCUAGUGAGUCAAGACUAUCCCUUACACCUGUAGCUUGUCUGGCCUCCUAGUAGAAAUAAAAGGAGAGGAAGGAGAAUGUGAAGUAGAAUAUGGCAGUUUUUUGUUGUUUCAGGGGAGUUGAGCAUAUUUCCCCUUUUAAACAACCUGGCUGGGAUGUGAUCCUUUGUUAACCAUAUGCCUUAACAAAAAACCCAGAAAAACGCCCCAAAAAACCCCAAACAAACAACAACAAAAAGCAACGUCAUAUUUAAAUUACAGAUCUAUUAGUCCCUGAUGGCCAGUGAGAUUUUAGAGAAAAACAACAUGUCAAUUGAAUUUUAGUUUUGUGAUGUAAUAAACUCAGAAGAUUGUAAUGAAAGUCACUGAAGCUUCUUGUAAGGAUAUACAGAUUAGCCUUCUGGGUGUUGCAGAUUUAAUUUCACUCAGUAAGUACAUGCAGCAAACAUAUUUCUUCAGAUUGAUCUACUCAGGCUGUAUCCAUCAACUAAUUAAACUUAUAUAUA